ensembl:snRNA U7 U7 small nuclear RNA
AAGUGUUACAGCUCUUUUAGAACUUGUCUAGGCUUGCUAGUUUUCACUGGAAAACACUC